rnacentral:rRNA from 1 species
UUUCCGGUUGAUCCCGCCGGAAGUCACCGCUGUCAGGAUCCGGCUAAACCAUGCAAGGCGAACGUGCCUCUUUUGAGGUAACGUGCCGUACUGCUCAGUAACACGUAGUCAACCUACCCUUGGGUCGGGGAUAAACCCGGGAAACUGGGGCUAAUCCCCGAUAGGAAAGGGGUACUGGAAUGUCCCCUUUCUCAAAGCUCCGGCGCCAAGGAUGGGACUGCGGUGGAUUAGGUUGUUGGGGGUGUAACGGACCCCCAAGCCUAUAAUCCAUACGGGCAUUGAGAGAUGGAGCCUGGAGAUGUGUUCUGAGACAUGAACACAGGCCCUACGGGGUGCAGCAGGUGCGAAACCUUUACACUGCGUGAAAGCGUGAUAAGGGGAUCCUGAGUGCCUCAGCACUGCUGGGGCUUUUGCGGAGUGAAAACAGCUCCGCGAACAAGCGGUGGGUAAGACGGGUGCCAGCCGCCGCGGUAAUACCCGCGCCGCAAGUGGUGACCGCGAUUAUUGGGCCUAAAGCGUCCGUAGCCGGUUGGGUAAGUCCUUGGUGAAAUCUCACGUAAAACGUGAGGCGUGCCGAGGAUACUACCCGACUUGGGACCGGGAGAAGCCUGAGGUAUUCCCUGGGUAGGGGUAAAAUCCUGUAAUCCAGGGAGGACCACCUGUGGCGAAGGCGUCAGGCUAGAACGGCUCCGACGGUGAGGGACGAAAGCCAGGGGAGCGAACGGGAUUAGAUAAACCCUUUACGGCUAACGCGUAAAGCGUUUACGGAAAGGGUUAUAAAAACCCCGGUAGUCCUGGCCGUAAACGAUGCCCGCUUGGUGUGUCACUUUCCAUGGGAAGGUGAUGUGCCGUAGCGUAGGCGUUAAGCGGGCCGCCUGGGGAGUACGGCCGCAAGGCUGAAACUUAAGGGAAUUGGCGGGGGAGCACACAAGCGGUGGAGGCUGCGGUUCAAUUGGAUUCAACGCCGGG